UACGUAGGGCGCAAGCGUUGUCCGGAAUUAUUGGGCGUAAAGAGCUCGUAGGCGGUGUGUUACGUCGGCCGUGAAAACCUGCAGCUUAACUGUGGGCGUGCGGUCGAUACGGGCAUCACUGGAGUUCGGCAGGGGAGACUGGAAUUCCUGGUGUAGCGGUGAAAUGCGCAGAUAUCAGGAGGAACACCAGUGGCGAAGGCGGCAUCCUGGACCGGUAUUGACGCUGAGGCGCGAAAGCUAGGGUAGCAAACGGG
rnacentral:rRNA from 1 species